UACGGGGGCGACCAGUGUUGGUGAUUCACUGGGCGUAAAGGGUGCGUAGGUGGUGAGGUAAGUCGGAUGUGAAAGCUCCGAGCUCAACUCGGAAAUGGCAUUGGAAACUACCUUGCUAGAGGGUUUGAGGGGGGACUGGAAUACUUGGUGUAGCAGUGAAAUGCGUAGAUAUCAAGUGGAACACCAGUGGCGAAGGCGAGUCCCUGGAAAACUCCUGACACUGAGGCACGAAAGCUAGGGGAGCAAACAGG
rnacentral:rRNA from 1 species